AUUACAUAUACAAUCCAAAUAUUACUGAUAAAUUGUUCAAAAUGAAUAUAAUUUUGAGAACAGGAUUUAAAGGAAUUACUCAUUCAAUUGAUUUUCAUCCUCAAACUAUCGUAAAAGGGAAAAAUUAGCUAUAUCUCAUGUUCAAAGAGUAGAAGAAAAAUACAAAUGACACUGGUAUUUUGAUAACAGGUAGUGUCAUACGUCAAACUUGUGUCACUUUACACCCCUACAAAGUUAGUUUAGAGUUGGAUAACAAUCGUCAUGUGCUUCUUGUUUCUUGUAAUUGUGUGUCAAAUGCAGGAAAGAAAUGCAAACAUAUUUAUGCUUUAAUAUGGUAUGUAAACUCUGAUAGGAGUGCAACAAAAACAUCUAUACAUCAAGAAUGGGGAAAGCCUUCAGAUUAUCAACUUGGUAAAGAAAUGUACUCCAAGCCACUAAUAGUUUCCAGAGAAUUCAAGAAAAAGCUAUAUUACAAGAAUAAAGUAAUAAUUCCUUUUAAUCUUCAGAUAUCAGAUGUGAAAAGCGAUUGUGCGUUAUUAAGAAUUUUACAGGCAAGUAAUAUAACAGAAACUGAAAGUAUUGUAAAACAAAUUAUAAUAGUUAUUUUAGACAAUGUUAUAAAAAGUUUUAA